AUCUUCCUCAUAAAGAGAGAGUACAGAUUAUGUUGGUGGUUUCUUCUUCUACGAGUCAAAACUCAAGCAUAAGGGAAAAGGAAAACCAAACAUGAUGACAAAGAAGUACCAGAUAUGCAGCCUUGAAUGCAAUAUUAAAAUACCCAGCAAAGCUAU